CGGCCAGACUCCUACGGGAGGCAGCAGUGGGGAAUAUUGCACAAUGGGGGGAACCCUGAUGCAGCGACGCCGCGUGAGUGAAGAAGUAUUUCGGUAUGUAAAGCUCUAUCAGCAGGGAAGAAAAUGACGGUACCUGACUAAGAAGCCCCGGCUAACUACGUGCCAGCAGCCGCGGUAAUACGUAGGGGGCAAGCGUUAUCCGGAUUUACUGGGUGUAAAGGGAGCGUAGACGGCGAUGCAAGUCAGAAGUGAAAGCCCGCGGCUCAACUGCGGGACUGCUUUUGAAACUGUAUAGCUUGAGUGCAGGAGAGGUAAGCGGAAUUCCUAGUGUAGCGGUGAAAUGCUUAGAUAUCAGGAGGAACAUCGGUGGCGUAAGCGCUUUACUGGGCCGUAAUUGACGCUGAGGAACGAAAGCCAGGGUAGCAAAUGGGAUUAGAUACCCCGGUAUA
rnacentral:rRNA from 1 species